UACGUAGGGUGCGAGCGUUAAUCGGAAUUACUGGGCGUAAAGCGUGCGCAGGCGGUCUGUUAAGACCGAUGUGAAAUCCCCGGGCUUAACCUGGGAACUGCAUUGGUGACUGGCAGGCUUUGAGUGUGGCAGAGGGAGGUAGAAUUCCACGUGUAGCAGUGAAAUGCGUAGAGAUGUGGAGGAACACCGAUGGCGAAGGCAGCCCCCUGGGUCAAGAUUGACGCUCAUGCACGAAAGCGUGGGGAGCAAACAGG
rnacentral:rRNA from 1 species